rnacentral:rRNA from 1 species
GACGAACGCUGGCGGCGUGCUUAACACAUGCAAGUCGAACGGAAAGGCCCUGCUUGCAGGGUACUCGAGUGGCGAACGGGUGAGUAACACGUGGGUGAUCUGCCCUGCACUUCGGGAUAAGCCUGGGAAACUGGGUCUAAUACCGGAUAGGAGCCAUUUUUAGUGUGAUGGUUGGAAAGUUUUUUCGGUGUAGGAUGAGCUCGCGGCCUAUCAGCUUGUUGGUGGGGUAAUGGCCUACCAAGGCGGCGACGGGUAGCCGGCCUGAGAGGGUGGACGGCCACAUUGGGACUGAGAUACGGCCCAGACUCCUACGGGAGGCAGCAGUGGGGAAUAUUGCACAAUGGGCGCAAGCCUGAUGCAGCGACGCCGCGUGGGGGAUGACGGCCUUCGGGUUGUAUACUCCUUUCGCUAGGGACGAAGCUUUUUGUGACGGUACCUAGAUAAGAAGCACCGGCUAACUACGUG